GACUUUUCCUAGUCCCUGAGACCCUAACUUGUGAGGUAUUUUAGUAACAUCACAAGUCAGGCUCUUGGGACCUAGGCGGAGGG
ensembl:miRNA microRNA 125b-2